AGCUCAGGGGUAGAGCGCUCGCUUCGCAUGCGAGAAGUCCGGGGUUCAAUUCCCCG
rnacentral:tRNA from 1 species